rnacentral:rRNA from 1 species
AACAGGUGCUAAUACCGUAUAACACUAUUUUCCGCAUGGAAGAAAGUUGAAAGGCGCUUUUGCGUCACUGAUGGAUGGACCCGCGGUGCAUUAGCUAGUUGGUGAGGUAACGGCUCACCAAGGCAACGAUGCAUAGCCGACCUGAGAGGGUGAUCGGCCACACUGGGACUGAGACACGGCCCAGACUCCUACGGGAGGCAGCAGUAGGGAAUCUUCGGCAAUGGACGAAAGUCUGACCGAGCAACGCCGCGUGAGUGAAGAAGGUUUUCGGAUCGUAAAACUCUGUUGUUAGAGAAGAACAAGGAUGAGAGUAAAAUGUUCAUCCCUUGACGGUAUCUAACCAGAAAGCCACGGCUAACUACGUGCCAGCAGCCGCGGUAAUACGUAGGUGGCAAGCGUUGUCCGGAUUUAUUGGGCGUAAAGCGAGCGCAGGCGGUUUCUUAAGUCUGAUGUGAAAGCCCCCGGCUCAACCGGGGAGGGUCAUUGGAAACUGGGAGACUUGAGUGCAGAAGAGGAGAGUGGAAUUCCAUGUGUAGCGGUGAAAUGCGUAGAUAUAUGGAGGAACACCAGUGGCGAAGGCGGCUCUCUGGUCUGUAACUGACGCUGAGGCUCGAAAGCGUGGGGGAGCGAACAGGAUUAGAUACCCUGGUAGUCCACGCCGUAAACGAUGAGUGCUAAGUGUUUGGAGGGUUUCCGCCCUUCAGUGCUGCAGCAAACGCAUUUAAGCACUCCGCCUGUGGAGUACGACCGCAAGGUUGAAACUCAAAGGAAUUGACGGGGGCCCGCACAAGCGGUGGGAGCAUGUGGUUUAAUUCUGAAGCAACGCGUAAAAACCUUACCACGGUCNUCGACAUCCUGUGACAACUCUAGAGAAUAGAGCCUUCCCCCCUCGGGGCAAGUGGACAGGUGCUGCAUGGAUGGNNGUCAGCUCG